UUCUAGUUGUUUGUCAGUUCUAAUGCAUCUCAAGUAUUUACCAAUUCUUAAGAAACAUUCCAGUGAUCUCAUUUGCAUCCUCCUUAGCUUAAAUUUUGUAGUUUCAUUCUCAGUGCAAAUUUAACGUUAUCUGGUGUCUCCAUCUGUUUUUUUACCUCAUUGGUUUAAAUAGUCCAGAGCAGUUUAGUCAUAUGGCCUGAAAUAGUUGUGAUGUGUCUGAUUUGAGUUGAGGAAAUAGCUAAGCAAGUUUUCACUUCCACUCUUUGGUUUUGAGAGGCUGGGAAAUCAGCAGUUUCUGUAAACAGUUAAGAGAAGAGAGGAAUACUGUUUCACUGUUAAGCAAGCUGAAGUGAAAUAGACCUUUUAAAAAGAGCAGAACACAUAGAAUCUUACUUUCUCUCAAGAAGUUCUUUUGUUUAGUUCCCCUCCCUAUUCAGGUGCCUCCUUUGGUACCUGCUCAGACAACAUUGACAUCCCUCAGUGUUCACCUCAAGGAACCUGGCUGGCCUUGGGCUGCAGAAGAGAAAAAUAAAAUGACAAACCUUCCCCCAAAUUU
rnacentral:lncRNA from 1 species